AUCCAGCUGAUGAGUCCCGAAUAGGAUGAAACGUGCGUCCUGGAU
rnacentral:hammerhead_ribozyme from 1 species